AUUGAACGCUGGCGGCAGGCCUAACACAUGCAAGUCGAACGAGUGGCGGACGGGUGAGUAAUGUAUGGGAAACUGCCUGAUGGAGGGGGAUAACUACUGGAAACGGUAGCUAAUACCGCAUACCAUCUGACGUGCCCAGAUGGGAUUAGCUAGUUGGUUGGGUAACGGCUCACCACGGCGACGAUCCAUAGCUGGUCUGAGAGGACGACCAGCCACACUGGAACUGAGACACGGCCCAGACUCCUACGGGAGGCAGCAGGGGGGAAUAUUGGAGAAUGGGCGAAAGCCUGAUGCAGCCAUGCCGCGUGUAUGAAGACGGCCUUCGGGUUGUAAAGUACUUUCAGCGGGGAGGCGUUACCCGCAGAAGAAGCACCGGCUAACUCCGUGCCAGCAGCCGCGGUAAUAC
rnacentral:rRNA from 1 species